rnacentral:rRNA from 1 species
GAUGAACGCUGGCGGCGUGCCUAAUACAUGCAAGUCGAGCGAACGGACGAGAAGCUUGCUUUUCUGAUGUUAGCGGCGGACGGGUGAGUAACACGUGGAUAACCUACCUAUAAGACUGGGAUAAUUUCGGGAAACCGGAGCUAAUACCGGAUAAUAUUUUGAACCGCAUGGUUGAAAAGUGAAAGACGGUCUUGCUGUCACGUAUAGAUGGAUCGGCGCUGCAUUAGCUAGUUGGUAAGUUAACGGCUUACCAAGGCGACUAGGGAUAGCCGACGUGGGAGGGGGAUAGGCGACCCUGGAACUGAGACAGGGACCAGACUCCUACGGGAGGGAGCAGUAUGGAAUCGUACGCAGUAGGGGAAAGCCUGACGGAGCAACGCCGCGUGAGAUAUGAAGGUCUUCGGUUCGUAAAGCUGUGUUAUGAGGUAAGAACAUAUGUGUAAGGAACUGUGCACAUAUUGACGGUACCUAGUCAGAAAGCCACGGCUAACUACGUG